CCCGGGGGGGGAGAAGGGACAUGGGGAAGUACGGAAACGUCGCUCUCGGUUUAGAUUGAAGGAGCUUGCUCCUGAUUGAUAAACAUUUGAGUGAGUGGCGGACGGGUGAGUAACACGUGGGUAACCUGCCCUAAAGUGGGGGAUAACAUUUGGAAACAGAUGCUAAUACCGCAUAAAACCUAACACCGCAUGGUGUAGGGUUGAAAGAUGGUUUCGGCUAUCACUUUAGGAUGGACCCGCGGUGCAUUAGUUAGUUGGUGAGGUAAAGGCUCACCAAGACCGUGAUGCAUAGCCGACCUGAGAGGGUAAUCGGCCACACUGGGACUGAGACACGGCCCAGACUCCUACGGGAGGCAGCAGUAGGGAAUCUUCCACAAUGGACGAAAGUCUGAUGGAGCAACGCCGCGUGAGUGAAGAAGGUUUUCGGAUCGUAAAACUCUGUUGUUGGAGAAGAAUGUAUCUGAUAGUAACUGAUCAGGUAGUGACGGUAUCCAACCAGAAAGCCACGGCUAACUACGUGCCAGCAGCCGCGGUAAUACGUAGGUGGCAAGCGUUGUCCGGAUUUAUUGGGCGUAAAGCGAGCGCAGGCGGUUUCUUAAGUCUGAUGUGAAAGCCUUCGGCUCAACCGAAGAAGUGCAUCGGAAACUGGGAAACUUGAGUGCAGAAGAGGACAGUGGAACUCCAUGUGUAGCGGUGAAAUGCGUAGAUAUAUGGAAGAACACCAGUGGCGAAGGCGGCUGUCUGGUCUGUAACUGACGCUGAGGCUCGAAAGCAUGGGUAGCAAACAGGAUUAGAUACCCUGGUAGUCCAUGCCGUAAACGAUGAGUGCUAGGUGUUGGAGGGUUUCCGCCCUUCAGUGCCGCAGCUAACGCAUUAAGCACUCCGCCUGGGGAGUACGACCGCAAGGUUGAAACUCAAAGGAAUUGACGGGGGCCCGCACAAGCGGUGGAGCAUGUGGUUUAAUUCGAAGCAACGCGAAGAACCUUACCAGGUCUUGACAUCCUUUGACCACUCUAGAGAUCAAGCUUUCCCUUCGGGGAACAAAGUGACAG
rnacentral:rRNA from 1 species